UACCGCAUACGCUACCUUCGGGUAAUGAAAGGGGCUUCGGCUUCACUGAUCGAUAGGGGUAAGUUGUAUUAGCUAGUUGGUAAGGUAAUGGCUUACCAAGGCAAUGAUGCAUAGCCAGCUUUAGCGAGUGAAUGGCCACAUUGGGACUGAGACAAGGCCCAGACUCCUUCGGGAGGCAGCAGCAGGGAAUUUUUCGCAAUGGGGGAAACCCUGACGAAGCGAUACUACGUGAAGGAAGAAGGUCUAUGGAUUGUAAACUUCUGUCAGCGCAGAAGAAAAAAGUAAAUGAAAGUUUAUUAUUGACCAUGCGCUUAGAAAGUCACGACUAACUACGUGCCAGCAGUCGCGGCAAUACGUAGGUGGCGAAUGUUAUCCGGAAUUAUUGGGCGUAAAGAAUGCGUAGAUUGUAUAAUAAGUCAUUGGUAGAAGUCAGGCUCAACCUGAAAGAAGCUGAUGAUACUGUUAAACUAGAGUGCAGGAGAGGUUGAUGGAAUUCCAUGUGGAGCGGUGAAAUGCUUAGAUAUAUGGAGGAACACCAAUAAAGGCGAAGGCAGUCAACUAUUCUGAUACUGACAUUGAAGCAUGAAAGCGUGGGGAGCAAAAAGGAUUAGAUACCCUUGUAGUCCACGCCGUAAACGAUGCAAACUAGAUGUUGGGUUCAAACUCAGUGUCGCUAGCUAACGCGUUAAGUUUGCCGCCUGGAUAGUACGCUCGCAAGAGUGAAACCCAAAGGAAUUGACGGGGACCCGCACAAGCGGUGGAGCAUGUGGUUUAAUUCGAUACAACGCGCAAAACCUUACCGAGGCUUGACAUGGAGUGCAAAACUGCGGAAACGCAGCGGAGGUUAUCACUACACAGAUGGUGCAUGGCCGUCGUCAGUUCGUGCCGUGAGGUGUAUGGUUAAGUCCUAUAACGAACGCAACCCUUGUCUUUAGUUACUAC
rnacentral:rRNA from 1 species